ensembl:snRNA U7 U7 small nuclear RNA
CAAUGUUACAACUCUUUUCGAAUUUGUCUGGUGGGUUUGCUUGUUUUCACUGGAAACUUUCCCCA